rnacentral:rRNA from 1 species
AUGACCACGGGUAGCCUAACCGACUCCCCCUGGCUCUUCGAAAAAUUACCAGGCCAAUCGAGCCUUCAAGCAUCCAGAGCACGGGGCCGCCUUCCUCUGGCCAGCUAUCCCCAAGACCGACUACUAGAAGGCGACCCGGCCUCAAAAACCUUCCCGAAGAAAGCUACGAGAUGGCCGACUCCAGGAAGCCGGCCCCAAGAGGACCGACUCCUAGAAGCCGGCCAUGAAGAAGGCCGACUCCCAAAAGCCGGCCAAGACUGCACCCACCAGGGCUGCACCCACAUAACGGUGACAAGACGGGGCGUGGCCGCAGUAUAG